AUUGAACGCUGGCGGCAUGCCUUACACAUGCAAGUCGAACGGCAGCACGGGUGCUUGCACCUGGUGGCGAGUGGCGAACGGGUGAGUAAUACAUCGGAACAUGUCCUGUAGUGGGGGAUAGCCCGGCGAAAGCCGGAUUAAUACCGCAUACGAUCUACGGAUGAAAGCGGGGGCCCUUCGGGCCUCGCGCUAUAGGGUUGGCCGAUAGCUGAUUAGCUAGUUGGUGGGGUAAAGGCCUACCAAGGCGACGAUCAGUAGCUGGUCUGAGAGGACGACCAGCCACACUGGGACUGAGACACGGCCCAGACUCCUACGGGAGGCAGCAGUGGGGAAUUUUGGACAAUGGGCGAAAGCCUGAUCCAGCAAUGCCGCGUGUGUGAAGAAGGCCUUCGGGUUGUAAAGCACUUUUGUCCGGAAAGAAAUCCUUGGAUCUAAUACAGUCGGGGGAUGACGGUACCGGAAGAAUAAGCACCGGCUAACUACGUG
rnacentral:rRNA from 1 species